rnacentral:rRNA from 1 species
UGGCUCAGGAUAAANGCNGGCGGNGUGCCUAAUACAUGCAAGUCGAGCGAACAGAUAAGGAGCUUGNUCCUUUGAAGUUAACGGCGGACGGGUGAGUAACACGUGGGUAACCUACCUAUAAGACUGGGAUAACUUCGGGAAACCGGAGCUAAUACCGGAUAACAUUUAGAACCGCANGGUUUUAAAGUGAAANAUGGUUUUGCUAUCACUUAUAGAUGGACCCGCGCCGUAUUAGNUAGUUGGUAAGGUAACGGCUUACCAAGGCGACGAUACGUAGCCGACCUGAGAGGGUGAUCGGCCNCACUGGAACUGAGACACGGUCCAGACUCCUACGGGAGGCAGCAGUAGGGAAUCUUCCGCAAUGGGCGAAAGCCUGACGGAGCAACAGCCGCGUGAGUGAUGAAAGGGUUUCGGCUNGUAANACUNCUGUUAUUAGGGAAGAACAAAUGUGUAAGUAACUGUGCAC